rnacentral:lncRNA from 10 species
GCCCGAUACCCAUUCUCUGUAUUUAACAGAUUCUCAGAAGGCAUGGCAGAGUUGAGCUGUCUCAGCCAUUGUGUGCCAGGGAAGCAUCACCUAGAGGUUUGGAGCAAAAUUGAGAGUAGGAUCAUUUGAAAUCAACAGGGUACAAAGUAAGCAGAGUAGCAUAGCUCCCAGCGGCACACUACUCGCUGCAUGACCCACAUUUAAACAGCAGCUUCCUGCUGAAGUCAGGCCAUAAAGGGAUGCCUGAAGGAAUCCUGAACAGGACAGGGAGGAAAGGUGGGAAAGAGAUGAAUACACAGUGUCUGGAGUUAAUAAACUUCAUUUCCUCCUAAGGCUCAUGGCCAUGGGGUAGAAAGAAGAAGGCUGAAGGCAAAGGUUCCAGGGAUACAUGUGCAGGUUUCUUACAUGGGAUACAUUGCAUGUCACUGAGGAUUGGUGUACAAUGAUCCCGUCACCCAGAUCUGCUCUGCACCCUUUCCAUCUGUCCUCAGCCAGGAAAACUGACCUAUAAGGACCAUAUCACCUGGGUUCCUGUGACUUCUGGCUUCGAGUUGAAGACCGUCAAUGGGGAACAUGAUUAGCAGACUGGGGCAGAGGACAAGGAAGAAGAGUAAGGGUUCAGGCAACUGACUCCUCUCGCUCAUUUCUUCAAGCCUAGGAAUGUUCCACCUGUCUCCAAGUUCCUGCAUUUUCCCUUGUGGUAAUGCUAUAUUCACACUCAACCUGUUGUAAAUAAAUCCUGAUUAAAAUCACCUUGAGUGUACUUUCCGUUUUCAGAUGGAACACUGAUUGACAGAACCAUUCACACCCCAGUCAUAAAUCAGCCCUAGAUUUAAUAUGAGUCUAUCUUCU